rnacentral:rRNA from 1 species
GAUGAACGCUGGCGGCGUGCUUAACACAUGCCAGUCGAACGGAAAGGCCCAAGCUUGCUUGGGUACUCGAGUGGCGAACGGGUGAGUAACACGUGGGUGAUCUGCCCUGCACUUCGGGAUAAGCCUGGGAAACUGGGUCUAAUACCGGAUAGGACCACUUCUUGGAUGUUGUGGUGGAAAGUUUUUUCGGUGUGGGAUGAGCUCGCGGCCUAUCAGCUUGUUGGUGGGGUAAUGGCCUACCAAGGCGUCGACGGGUAGCCGGCCUGAGAGGGUGUACGGCCAAAUUGGGACUGGGGUUAGGCCCAGACUCCUACGGGGGGCAGCAGUGGGGAAUAUUGCACAAUGGGCGGAAGCCUGAUGCAGCGACGGCGGGUGGGGGGUGAACGGCUUCGGGUUGUAAACUCCUUUCGCCAGGGACGAAGCGUUUUGUGACGGUACCUGGAGAAGAAGCACCGGCUAACUACGUG